AACUGAUACUACCUGCGGGAACCUGCGGAGGGAUCAAUAGUGAGUUGGGAAUGUAAUAUUGUGAAUUGCUAGGGGUAACGAAUGAUGAUGAUUGUUGUUGUCAUCAUUGCUGUUACCCCUGGACAACCACAACACAAACGAUAACAAUCAAGAUCAAAUACAAUCAAUCAAUCAAAACAACUUUCAACAAUGGAUCUCU
rnacentral:misc_RNA from 1 species